UACGGAGGGGCGUAGCGUUGUUCGGAAUUACUGGGCGGUAAAGACGCACGUAGGCGGACUGGAAAGUACAGAGGUGAAAUACCCAGGGCGUCAACCUUGGAACUGCCUUUGUAAACUCCCGGUCUUGAGGUCGAGAGAGGUGAGUGGAAUUCCGAGUGUAGAGGUGAAAUUCGUAGAUAUUCGGAGGAACACCAGUGGCGAAGGCGGCUCACUGGCUCGAUACUGACGCUGAGGUGCGAAAGCG
rnacentral:rRNA from 1 species